ensembl:lncRNA
CUCAUGCAUGCCUCAUGCUCCCAUGACCGCUCGGUGGAAACGCGCCAUCACAGAGGAAUCUGAAAUAUCGCAAGUCAUACUACACGUUAAUAUGAUUUAUAGGCAGAGAUGAGAAGGGCAGAGUUGGAAAGCUAAUGCAAAAAUGUGUUUCUUAUUUUAUAGGUUUGGUCAAGGUACAGUGACCCAAAGUAGGCCAUGUCGUUUGUGAAAGCUGCCUCGGAGAGCUGUUCACCUGUCCGGUGUAGGCCUACAAGAAAAUCUGAGGUCAAGCGACAACGGAUGAUGGGCACUUAUGUGCCAUAUAAUCAGAGUCCUUACAGAAACUGUAACUACGCCGAACAGUGGAGAGCCAGCCCAUUGCAGGUAGUAGCCUACAGCCGUUGGCGGAGCCAGCCCCUUGCAGGUAGUACACCCCGGAGCCAGCUCAUUGUGCGUCGUUCUUCCAAGUAGCAACGGUAUUGAUUUUACCAUAUAAAAUCUGGAAUCAGUUGACCUUUUCAACAUAUUUUCCUAUUUUUCAUGGAAACCGAUCUUCAAGACCCUGCGUGCCGCUCCAGGUUUUCAAGUAGGCUAUUGCACCUCCAGGAGGCGUGCUAGGAAUUUUCUGGAUCCUGCGAUUGUCCACAAAUGGAAGACUGAUGACUGAUGAGAGUCUUUUCCAGAAGUUACCCCAGGGUGGAAAGAUUGCAAUUUGCAGAGAUAUGCUGGCAGAUUCCCUAGGGCACUUUCUUUAGGGCACAAAGUAUGGCAAUUACAGUUUGAUGCAUAUGGAGAGUUACACCAUUAUAGACCUUCAGCUUGUUCAGGUUUGUAGAAGAAACUGGGCAAACAUGCGCAAUCCAAGGACUGAGGUUUUGAAGAAGUGGCUGCGCAGUAGGGCUGCAAGAUUAUAGCCAAAAUGAUUAUCACGAUUAUUUUGAUCAAUAUUGAUAUGUAUAUAUAUAUAUAUAAUAAAUGUUCUCAUUCUGAUUGCUGUAGUACUUGCCAAUGGUGGGCUUUUACGUACUACGGGUCAUUAUUUGUUGAUAUUUUGCAUUAAAGCAAAGCAGGAUGAAAUUAAUCGAAAAAUAUUUUUGUAGAUUUUUGGUGAAUAUUUUGAACAAUUAAUUUCAUCCUGUUUCACUUUCUUUCUUUUUUGUGCGUGUUGUUGUUAAACACCUGAUAAUGGGCUAG